rnacentral:pre_miRNA from 1 species
GAUUUCAACUGAAAAAGUUAUCAACAACAAUGUUGUAUAACACAUCAAUAUCUAUAACUUUUAUUUUGGUCAUUUCUUUAUCCGACAAAUGAUAGUAACAUUGUUCAAAAAAUUUAUAUAUCUCUCUUACAAUUUAUAAUACCAUAUAAGAUAUAUGUAAAAUUUAUGAACAAUGUUAAUAUCACUUUGUCGGAUGAAUAAAUGACCAAAAUAAAAGUUAUAGAUAUUGAUGAGUUAUAUAAUUUUGUUAUUGAUGACUUUUUCAUUUGAAAUC